UGCCCAGCAACUCCUAUCCUUACCUCCUCGUGGUACUGGCCGGGGUACGAGUAACCUUAGGGAAGAUCGGGUAACCAACCCCCGGUGGAAUCUUUGGUCGUAUGCUGACAGAGAAGG
rnacentral:ribozyme from 1 species